UAUAGACUCGAAGGUUCCCAGCAUCAUGCUCUGUUAGCAAUGCAGGACCUCAUAUUUAUGGUAUCAUUAAAUUAUGGAUUCCAGAAUUAAAAAAACAAGAUCUGAGAUAUCUCGGGACCUUGGGAUUUUAGAACUUAAGAGUUGGAGAAACUUCAGCACCAACUUUGGACUCUAUCAUUUGCUAGUUGCGAUCCCUGGGCCCCGGGCUGAUUCUUUCUGUGCCUCGGUUUCCUUUUCUGUUAAAGGCUACCUGAGAGGACUCCUGGGAGGAUUGGCUACAUAGCCAUGUGCAGAGCCAGCACGAGGAUCAUAAGGUUCUGUGUCAGAGGCCUCCAAAAGCCAGGCUGCAUUCUCUCCUGAUAUGAGGCCCCUCAUGACUCAGGACAGAGCAGCCUUCCACCCCAAGGCUCACUGUUUCUCUGCACGUCCUACCUCCGAUGCCGCACCGAUUGCUAUCCGGUCCUCUUAUCCCACUUUCAGUCCUCCACUCCAGCAGCUCUGGGGCAUGGGUUUUGUCCUUCAGUGUGGCCUGGUGACCUCUCUCUCACUUCCUUCCCUUAUUACCUCUGGCCUCCCCCAACUCCCAGUCUUUCUGGAAGCUCUAGUCCCGACUCUGUGGGCAGAAACAUCGUUUAUUCUCCAGAGGGGGAAGAGAAUACAUGUGGCUCACACAAUCUCUGGCUAAUGGCAUUGCCUGGGAGUCCUCCCUGCCUGCCGUUGGUGGGCUGUAUUUCCUCGACCUCCAGGCUUCUACUGCUGAAGCUUGGAGAGACUGCAGGACCGGACUUCUGGAGCCAGGCAAAGGCCGGCAACAAAGACAGCCAGGGAACUCAGAGCCUCUGAGAUGCCAGGCCUCAAGCCUAACCCUGGAAGGACAAGCAGGAAACUGGGCUUUCCUGCUGGGGAGAAAGCACAGGCUGCAGAGUUUCAAGGAGGGAAGAGACUGCCAUGAUCCAAAUCACCUCAUCAAUGCCACACCCACUUUACAUCUCUGCGCCAGGCCCUGGUGAACUGUCCUGCCGGUACGUUUCCUUCCAUGACUGUCUCCUCCCUCGUCCCAUUUUUUCAUCAAUGCCUUCUUCUCUGUGGGUCCCUAAACAAGCUGUCUUUCCCCCUCCCAGCUCUAUGUACCCAGCCCAGCUCACACCACGAACAACUCCUUCUACUACCAUACCCUAGAUGUGAAAAUCUGACAUUAAAUCUGUGUUUAUGUAACUGUGUAA